rnacentral:rRNA from 1 species
UAGCGUUGUUCGGAAUUACUGGGCGUAAAGCGCAUGUAGGCGGACAUUUAAGUCAGGGGUGAAAUCCCGGGGCUCACCUCGGAACUGCCUUUGAUACUGGGCGUCUAGAGUGUGGAAGAGGUAAGUGGAAUUCCGAGUGUAGAGGUGAAAUUCGUAGAUAUUCGGAGGAACACCAGUGCGAAGGCGGCUUACUGGUCCAUUACUGACGCUGAGGUGCGAAAGCGGUGGGGAGAC